CUUACUCAACGCCAACGGCAAGGGCGGCAAUCGCAAACUUGGGCAGGUAUUCAGUGCUUAGGCUGCGAGUUCCGAACAAGGAUCUUCAAAAUGGAGAAGUUUGAGAGUUUAGAAAGAAAGGUUGCUCUGCUGCAACGCUUCGACAACACAGCCAAAGCCCACACCAAAGCCGUGGAGGGUUUGAGAGAUACCAUUGUAAAAAGAGUUGAUGAAUUCCUUCAUUUCAACAAGGCGCAG